GGGUAUGUAGGUCAGUGGUAGACCUCAUGCUUAGUAUGCACGAGGUCCCGGGUUCAAUCCCCAGUACUUCCA
rnacentral:tRNA from 1 species